AAUACAUCUUUGUUACAUUAUGCUUUGGAAGUAUUAAUAAUUUACUCAGUCGUUUAUUGGCAUUGAGACUGCAACAACAUAAGAUUUAAUGAAAAUCGCAUUCUUGCAAAUAAUGUAUCUAACACUUAAAUAUAUAUUAACUUUAUCUGUGACAUUAAUACCAGUAUUGCAUACAUGUACAACCGCGCCUGCACGACGCAAAAUUGGAGAAAUCAGCAAACAAAGUAUGUGGAUUAAUCAGUGAAUAUCCCAGAAAUCUACGAGUAUAUUAUAAUGUUUUCGAAUGCAGAGAAGUCUACUUACACAGAUUUCCACACUCCAGAAACUGAAGUGUGGAUUAUUGGUGGAGGUGGAUAUGAUGCUAAAGCAAAAGAAUAUCCUCACAUGGCUGCUCUGGGUUACGGUGAAUGGAACAAUU